AUACGUAGGGGGAGAGCGUUGUCCGGAAUGAUUGGGCGUAAAGGGAGCGUAGGCGGCCCGGUACGUCUGGAGUGAAAGUCCUGCUUUUAAGGUGGGCAUUGCUUUGGAUACUGUUGGGCUUGAGAGCAGGAGAGGUUAUCGGAAUUCCCGGUGUAGCGGUGAAAGGCGUAGAAAUCGGGAGGAACACCAGUGGCGAAGGCGGGUAACUGGACUGCAACUGACGCUGAGGCGCGAAAGUGUGGGGAGCAAACAGGAUUAGAUACCCUGGUAGUCCACACUGUAAACGAUGAAUGCUAGGUGUAAGAGGUAUCGACCCCUUUUGUGCCGGAGUUAACACAAUAAGCAUUCCGCCUGGGGAGUACGGCCGCAAGGUUGAAACUCAAAUGAAUUGACGGGG
rnacentral:rRNA from 1 species